rnacentral:pre_miRNA from 1 species
AUGUAGAGCAAUCUGUCUUUAAGUAGCGGUAAAUUAAUCUUAAAGAAAAAAAGGAAUCCUAGAUAGUUUUCCCUUCAAUUCAAGAGUCUUGG